rnacentral:snoRNA from 1 species
AAGCCAGCCAAUUAGUCUGCUUAUCUGAAUGUGUUUCUGCAGAAGUACAGAGAAAGCUGGCAAGGUAUGCAUGUCAUAAGCCUUAAGGAGAGUUGAGAUUGUUAAGGUCCCAUUUUCACAAGA